AUGGGUCAGCGACUUACGUUUAAUGGCGAGCUUAACCGUAUAGGGGAGGCGCAGCGAAAGCGAGUUCGAACAGAGCGUUCAGUCGUUAGGCGUAGACCCGAAACCAGAUGAUCUAUCCAUGGCCAGGUUGAAGGUGUGGUAACACACACUGGAGGACCGAACCGACUAGUGUUGCAAAAUUAGCGGAUGAGCUGUGGAUAGGGGUGAAAGGCUAAACAAAUCUGGAGAUAGCUGGUUCUCCCCGAAAACUAUUGAGGUAGUGCCUCGUGUAUGACUCCAGGGGGUAGAGCACUGUUAUGGCUAGGGGGACAUGGCGUCUUACCAAACCAUGGCAAACUCCGAAUACUUGGAAGUUUGAGCACGGGAGACAGAGCACCGGGUGCUAACGUCCGGACUCAAGAGGGAAACAACCCAGACCGCCGGCUAAGGUCCCUAAUAUUGACUAAGUGGAAAACGAAGUGGAAAGGCUAAGACAGUCAGGAAGUUGGCUUAGAAGCAGCCAUCCUUCAAAGAAAGCGUAAUAGCUCACUGAUCGAGUCUUUCUGCGCGGAAGAUGUAACGGGGCUAAGUCAAUAACCGAAGCCGCGGAUUCACACUUAUGUGUGAGUGGUAGGGGAGCGUUCUGUAAGCCUGCGAAGGUGACUCGUAAGGGUUGCUGGAGGUAUCAGAAGUGCGAAUGCUGACAUGAGUAACGUUAAAGCGGGUGAAAAGCCCGCUCGCCGUAAGCCCAAGGUUUCCUGCUCUACGUUCAUCGGAGCAGGGUGAGUCGGCCCCUAAGGUGAGGCUGAGAAGCGUAACUGAUGGGAACAAGGUUAAUAUUCCUUGACCACCGCUGAAUGCGAAGGGGGGACGGAGUAUUGAAGAUCAUCCGGGUGUUGGAUAUCCCGGUUUGCGAGCGUAGGAGGCUGACAGGCAAAUCCGUCAGCGAAUCUCCGAGGCGAAGCAUCGAGCUCUCUUUUGAGCGAAGUGAUUGGAUGUGCUUCCAGGAAAAGCCUCUAAGCUCCAGUUCAGCGGGACCGUACCGCAAACCGACACUGGUGGGCGAGCUGAAUAUGCUCAGGCGCUUGAGAGAACUCAGGAGAAGGAACUCGGCAAAUUGACACCGUAACUUCGGGAUAAGGUGUGCCUUUGUAGCGUGGAGGGAGAAACACCCCGAGCGCGAAGAGGUCUCAGAUAAUCGGUGGCUGCGACUGUUUAUUAAAAACACAGCACUCUGCAAAGACGAAAGUCGACGUAUAGGGUGUGAUGCCUGCCCGGUGCUGGAAGAUUAAUUGAUGGGGUGCAAGCUCCUGAUCGAAGUCCCAGUAAACGGCGGCCGUAACUAUAACGGUCCUAAGGUAGCGAAAUUCCUUGUCGGGCAAGUUCCGACCUGCACGAAUGGCAUAACGAUGGCCACACUGUCUCCUCCUGAGACUCAGUGAAGUUGAAGUGUUUGUGAUGAUGCAAUCUCCCCGCGGCUAGACGGAAAGACCCCAUGAACCUUUACUGUAGCUUUGCAUUGGACUUUGAACCGAUCUGUGUAGGAUAGGCGGGAGCCUGUGAAACCACAACGCCAGUUGUGGCGGAGGCGUCCUUGAAAUACCGCCCUGAUUUGUUUGAGGUUCUAACUUGGGACAGUUAUCCUGUCCGGGGACCGUGCAUGGUAGGCAGUUUGACUGGGGCGGUCUCCUCCUAAAGGGUAACGGAGGAGUGCGAAGGUACGCUAGGUACGGUCGGAAAUCGUGCUGAUAGUGCAAUGGCAAAAGCGUGCUUGACUGCGAGACCCACAAGUCGAGCAGAUACGAAAGUAGGUCAUAGUGAUCCGGUGGCUCUGUAUGGAAGGGCCAUCGCUCAACGGAUAAAAGGUACUCUGGGGAUAACAGGCUGAUACCGCCCAAGAGUUCAUAUCGACGGCGGUGUUUGGCACCUCGAUGUCG
rnacentral:rRNA from 1 species